rnacentral:rRNA from 1 species
UACAGAGGGUGCUAGCGUUAUUCGGAAUCACUGGGCGUAAAGGGCGCGUAGGCGGCCUGUUAAGUCUGAUGUGAAAGCCCUGGGCUCAAUCCAGGAAGUGCAUCGGAUACUGGCAGGCUAGAGUAUGGGAGAGGAGGACGGAAUUCCUGGUGUAGAGGUGAAAUUCGUAGAUAUCAGGAGGAACAACAGUGGCGAAGGCGGUUCUCUGGACCAUUUCUGACGCUGAGGCGCGAAAGCGUGGGGAGCAAACAGG